GACAGAGGUGCCGAGCGUUAGGCGGAAUCACUGGGCUUAAAGCGUGUGUAGGCGGACUUCUAAGUACCUUGUGAAAUCCCACGGCUUAACCGUGGAACUGCUUGGUAUACUGGUUGUCUUGGGCCAUCUAGGGGCUACUGGAACAAGCGGUGGAGCGGUGAAAUGCGUAGAUAUCGCUUGGAACGCCGAAGGUGAAAACAGGCUGCUGGGGUUGCGCCGACGCUGAGACACGAAAGCCAGGGGAGCAAACGGG
rnacentral:rRNA from 1 species